rnacentral:rRNA from 1 species
UGGCGAAUGAAGCGGGAAGAGCUCAAAUUUAAAAUCUGCGUCGCCUGCGACGCCGAAUUGUAGUUUCGAGAAGCACCUUCUCGGCGGGUCCGGGGCCGUCCAAGUUGCUUGGAACAGCACGUCAUAGAGGGUGACAACCCCGUCUGUGGCGGAACCGGCCGCUAACGAUGUGCUUUCGACGAGUCGGGUUGUUUGGGAAUGCAGCCCAAAAUGGGUGGUAAACUCCAUCUAAAGCUAAAUACUGGCACGAGACCGAUAGCGAACAAGUACCGUGAGGGAAAGAUGAAAAGCACUUUGAAAAGAGAGUUAAACAGUACGUGAAACCGUUAAAAGGGAAACGGAUGGGGUCAGCAAUGCGCUCCGCGAGAUUCAGCCGGGCGGAGCGUCGGGCGGGCGGCACGCGGAUCCGAAUGGACCGCGGCCGUCCGGUUCGGCGCUGCGACCGUCGCACUUCUCGCGAGCGCGCGCCAGCGUCGGUUGGGACUGGGUCUCAAAGUGGCGGGCAAGGUAGGCCGCGUUUCCCUAACCGGGCGCGACUGUUACAGGCCCGCCUCGCGUGGCCCGGACCCGACCGAGGCGUCGCGGCUCGUGCCUCCCCUCGGGGUCUGGCUGGGGUCCCGUCCUUCCGGUCGGCGGUCGAAUGCGGUGGACUGCGUGCAGUGCGCCGCGACCGCCGUCGGUCGCUCGGGCGGUGAUCUCGCACUACGUGCCAAGGACGCUGGCGGUCAAAUGGCCUCAUUCGACCCGUCUUGAAACACGGACCAAGGAGUCUAACAUGUGCGCGAGUCUUCGAGUGAAUGAAGCUCGCCGGCGCAAUGAAAGUGAAGGCGGCCCCGUGCCGCCGAGGCGAGAGCCCCCCCGUCAGGGCGGGGCGCAUCGUCGACCGACCUAUUCCGCUCUCGGGAAGGUUUGAGUGGGAGCGCACCUGU